GUGAUGCCUGCUGAGCUUUGACAAAGUCUUGUGUCAAGAGUGGAGCAUCUGUAGUCGGUAGUCGGGCUAUCCGCUCCGAGUAGUUGGAAUGAGUUUGUUUUUGAGUUGCUUGAGGCGAAGGCUCGAGUACGUUUGUCUACUAUGGGUAGUAGCGACAAAGAUGUUCUAUAUUCCAGGAAUUUGGUACUUGUUCUCCUGAAAGUUCUUGUAGUCUGUAAGACCCGGGUCCUGUGACCUUGGAUACGAUGUAGGGACCUUCCCAUGGUGAAUUGAGUUUAUGCAACCCUGACAUGUCCUGGAUUCGUUUGAGGACCAUGUCGCCUAAGUUCAAAGAUCGCUCUUUAACAUUGCGGUCGUGGUAUC
rnacentral:lncRNA from 1 species